CUGCUGCCUCCCGUAGGAGUUUGGGCCGUGUCUCAGUCCCAAUGUGGCCGGUUCACCCUCUCAGGCCGGCUACUGAUCGUUGCCUUGGUAGGCCAUUACCCCACCAACUAGCUAAUCAGACGCGGAACCAUCGUAUACCACCAGAGUUUUUCACACCGCUUCAUGCGAAGCUGUGCGCUUAUGCGGUAUUAGCACCUAUUUCUAAGUGUUAUCCCCCAGUAUACGGCAGGUUUUCCACGCGUUACUCACCCGUCCGCCA
rnacentral:rRNA from 1 species